rnacentral:rRNA from 1 species
GUCUGUGUGAAGUUACAUAGAGUCUGACCUGCCCAUUGAAAAAAUUAAAAGGCCGCGGUAUAUUAACUGUGCAAAGGUAGCAUAAUCAUUAGCUUUUUAAUUGAAGGCUUGUAUGAAGGGUUUGACAAAGAAAAGUCUGUCUUUAUUUUUAGGUUUGAAUUUAACUUUUAAGUGAAAAGGCUUAAAUAGGUUAAAGGGACGAUAAGACCCUAUAAAUCUUUAUACUAAAUUAAUUUCCUGUUUGUUAAUACAAGAAUAGUUUAAAUAUUAAUGGGUAAAAUGAUGUGUAUUUUGUUGGGGUGAUGAGAAUAUAAAAUUAACUGUUCUUGGGUAAAUCAAAGUUGUUUGAAAUAAUUUUAGUAGAUCCUUUAUAAAGAUCAAGAGUUUAAGUUACUUUAGGGAUAACAGCGUUAUUUUUUUUGAGAGUUCAUAUCGAAAGAAAAGUUUGCGACCUCGAUGUUGAAUUAAGAUUUCUUUACGGUGCAGAAGUUGUAAGAGGAAAGUCUGUUCGACUUUU